rnacentral:rRNA from 1 species
CGAGCGGCGGACGGGUGAGUAAUGCAUAGGAAUCUGCCCGGUAGUGGGGGAUAACUUGAGGAAACUCAAGCUAAUACCGCAUACGCCCCAAGGGGGAAAGCAGGGGAUCUUCGGACCUUGCGCUAUCGGAUGAGCCUAUGUCGGAUUAGCUAGUUGGUGAGGUAAUGGCUCACCAAGGCCGCGAUCCGUAGCUGGUCUGAGAGGAUGAUCAGCCACAUCGGGACUGAGACACGGCCCGAACUCCUACGGGAGGCAGCAGUGGGGAAUAUUGGACAAUGGGCGAAAGCCUGAUCCAGCCAUGCCGCGUGU